UACGUAGGGGGCUAGCGUUGUCCGGAAUCAUUGGGCGUAAAGCGCACGUAGGCGGGUUGUUAAGUCGGGGGUGAAAUCCUGGAGCUCAACUCCAGAACUGCCUUCGAUACUGGCGACCUUGAGUCCGGGAGAGGUGAGUGGAACUCCGAGUGUAGAGGUGAAAUUCGUAGAUAUUCGGAAGAACACCAGUGGCGAAGGCGGCUCACUGGCUCGAUACUGACGCUGAGGUGCGAAAGCGUGGGGAGCAAACAGG
rnacentral:rRNA from 1 species